CAGCAGCCGCGGGAAUACGUAGGGUGCGAGCGUUAAUCGGAAUUACUGGGCGUAAAGCGUGCGCAGGCGGUUGUGUAAGACAGGUGUGAAAUCCCCGGGCUUAACCUGGGAACUGCGCUUGUGACUGCACAGCUAGAGUAUGGCAGAGGGGGGUGGAAUUCCACGUGUAGCAGUGAAAUGCGUAGAUAUGCGGAGGAACACCGAUGGCGAAGGCAAUCCCCUGGACCUGUACUGACGCUCAUGCACGAAAGCGUGGGGGGCAAACAGGAUUAGAUACCCCUGUAGUCCCUGUCUCUUAUAC
rnacentral:rRNA from 1 species